UGUCGUCUUGGAUGUCUCUGAAUCCACCCGCUUCAAACCUAACUGACUUCCAUUUGUGGCUGGGUGAUCCAAAGUACCAUGGCUGCACAAUCUGAAGCAGCCUGCCAGACUGAUGUCCCUACCACGAUGCAACAGGAGGCACAGGUACCCACCCCCUCAGCUGCAACAGAUUCCCCACAACGAGCUGGAGCCAUCGGAAACAUGGGCAAAGUCAGCGGUAGAAACAAUCCUACCAUUACUG